rnacentral:rRNA from 1 species
UACCAUGCAGUCGAACGGUGAUGUCGGAGCUUGCUCUGGCGGAUCAGUGGCGAACGGGUGAGUAACACGUGAGUAACCUGCCCCCGACUCUGGGAUAACUGCUAGAAAUGGUAGCUAAUACCGGAUAUGACGAUUGGCCGCAUGGUCUGGUCGUGGAAAGAAUUUCGGUUGGGGAUGGACUCGCGGCCUAUCAGGUUGUUGGUGAGGUAAUGGCUCACCAAGCCUACGACGGGUAGCCGGCCUGAGAGGGUGACCGGCCACACUGGGACUGAGACACGGCCCAGACUCCUACGGGAGGCAGCAGUGGGGAAUAUUGCACAAUGGGCGAAAGCCUGAUGCAGCAACGCCGCGUGAGGGAUGACGGCCUUCGGGUUGUAAACCUCUUUUAGUAGGGAAGAAGCGAAAGUGACGGUACCUGCAGAAAAAGCACCGGCUAACUACGUGCCAGCAGCCGCGGUAAUACGUAGGGUGCAAGCGUUGUCCGGAAUUAUUGGGCGUAAAGAGCUCGUAGGCGGUUUGUCGCGUCUGCUGUGAAAUCCCGAGGCUCAACCUCGGGUCUGCAGUGGGUACGGGCAGACUAGAGUGCGGUAGGGGAGAUUGGAAUUCCUGGUGUAGCGGUGGAAUGCGCAGAUAUCAGGAGGAACACCGAUGGCGAAGGCAGAUCUCUGGGCCGUAACUGACGCUGAGGAGCGAAAGCAUGGGGAGCGAACAGGAUUAGAUACCCUGGUAGUCCAUGCCGUAAACGUUGGGAACUAGAUGUGGGGACCAUUCCACGGUCUCCGUGUCGCAGCUAACGCAUUAAGUUCCCCGCCUGGGGAGUACGGCCGCAAGGCUAAAACUCAAAGGAAUUGACGGGGGCCCGCACAAGCGGCGGAGCAUGCGGAUUAAUUCGAUGCAACGCGAAGAACCUUACCAAGGCUUGACAUAUACCGGAAACAUGCAGAGAUGUGUGCCCCGCAAGGUCGGUAUACAGGUGGUGCAUGGUUGUCGUCAGCUCGUGUCGUGAGAUGUUGGGUUAAGUCCCGCAACGAGCGCAACCCUCGUUCUAUGUUGCCAGCACGUAAUGGUGGGAACUCAUAGGAGACUGCCGGGGUCAACUCGGAGGAAGGUGGGGAUGACGUCAAAUCAUCAUGCCCCUUAUGUCUUGGGCUUCACGCAUGCUACAAUGGCCGGUACAAAGGGCUGCGAUACCGUAAGGUGGAGCGAAUCCCAAAAAGCCGGUCUCAGUUCGGAUUGAGGUCUGCAACUCGACCUCAUGAAGUCGGAGUCGCUAGUAAUCGCAGAUCAGCAACGCUGCGGUGAAUACGUUCCCGGGCCUUGUACACACCGCCCGUCAAGUCAUGAAAGUCGGUAACACCCGAAGCCAGUGGCCUAACCGCAAGGGAGGAG